GUCUACAGCCAUACCACCCUGAACGCGCCCGAUCUUUUCUGAUCUCGGAAGCUAAGCAGGGUCGGGCCUGGUUAGUGCUUGAAUGGGAGACCAAUAGUCCACCUUCUACGUACGUACACG
ensembl:rRNA 5S_rRNA 5S ribosomal RNA